CUACAGCUGAGGGCAAAAUUAUUAGACACCCCCCCCUACGAAAUUUGAAGUUUCUUCUAGAUUUUCCCCAAGUACCUUUUUAACAGAGCAAGGAAUUUUCAACAUAGCAUUUCUGAACAUACUAGUUUUCCUUAUAAGGCACAAACUGUUAUAUUUGCACAUCAAAACAGAAUUAUUUAAGAAAAAAAUUAACAUAACUAGGGACAUUAUUAUUAGCCCCCUUUAAGAAACAACCAUUUAUUAAGUCACUGCACAAACCACUUUUGUACAAAGCUGUGCUUUAGCUUCACAGUGAUGUGCUUAAAGGUGAUCAGGUGGAUCAGGUGAUUUCACUCAACAUUUAAGUUAAAACAUGGUAGAAAAGCUUCAGUACGGCUCAUUGAGCGGUCAGUUUAGAAAGCACCAAAAACGAAAACUAAAGAAAUCAGUUUGGACUUGAGAAAAAGAAUUAUUGAUGCACACAAAGCAGGAGAAGGAUAUACAAAGCUAUGCAAGCAUUUCCAAGUGUCAAGAACUGGAGUGAGAAGUAUAAUCCAGAAAUUCAAAAACAGCCACACAGUACAGAACAAGGCUGGCAGAGGUAGGAAGAGAAAGGUUU